UGUUAUGGCGGCUGUGUGCGGGCAGGCUUCGGCCUGGCCGGGUGCCUACUAUCCCGGUAUUCCUACCCCGUGCACAGCCGUCGCCCAA
rnacentral:antisense_RNA from 2 species